CCCUUAGACGUUCUGGGCCGCACGCGCGCUACACUGACGAAGGCAACGAGCUUUCCUUUACCGAAAGGUACGGGUAAUCUUUUGAAACUUCGUCGUGCUGGGGAUAGAUCCUUGCAAUUUUUGAUCUUAAACGAGGAAUGCCUAGUAAGCGCAAGUCAUCAACUUGCGUUGAUUACGUCCCUGCCCUUUGUACACACCGCCCGUCGCUACUACCGAUUGAAUGGUUUAGUGAGGCCUUCGGAUCCGCGACUCGUUUGUGGAGAAGUUGAACAAACUCAGUCAUUUAGAGGAAGUAAAAGUCGUAACA
rnacentral:rRNA from 1 species